GGAUGCGUGGCGCAGUUGGUUAGCUCGCCUCAUUCACACGUGGAUUCCACGUCACUGUCCUGAGGAGGUCGACGGUUCGAGCCCGUCCGCGUUCA